GACGAACGCUGGCGGCGUGCUUAACACAUGCAAGUCGAGCGGUAAGGCCCUUUCGGGGUACGACGAGCGGCGAACGGGUGAGUAACACGUGGGUGACCUCGCCCUCCAGCUCUGGGAGUAAGCCUCGGGAAACCGGGUACUAAUACCGGAUAUGACUCCAUGACGCAUGUUGUGGGGUGGAAAGCCCUGUGCGGCUGAGGAUGGGCCCGCGGCCUAUCAGCUUGUUGGUGGGGUGAUGGCCUACCAAGGCGACGACGGGUAGCCGGCCUGAGAGGGCGACCGGCCACACUGGGACUGAGACACGGCCCAGACUCCUACGGGAGGCAGCAGUGGGGAAUCUUGCGCAAUGGGCGAAAGCCUGACGCAGCGACGCCGCGUGAGGGAUGACGGCCUGGUGUAACU
rnacentral:rRNA from 1 species